rnacentral:lncRNA from 1 species
AGAGGACACGCAACAGGCCGUGCCUGGUUUGCAUUUGCUCCCUACUUGUGAACAAUGCCAAAGAAAGUGAAGCCCACAGGGGAUGAGAACGAACAAGAGUCUGUUUCUUGCAAGCAGGCGAAGGAGGAGCUACCUAAUACGCUUUCUGUAUUAAACUUUGACAGCCCCAGUAGUUUCUUUGAAAGUUUAAUAUCACCCAUCAAAGUAGAGACAUUUUUCAAGGAAUUCUGGGAACAGAAACCCCUUCUCAUUCAGAGGGAUGACCCUUCGCUGGCCGCAUAUUACCAGUCUCUGUUCAG